ACAGCAGUAGCCACGGUAAAACGAAGGGUGCAAGCGUUACUCGGAAUUACUGGGCGUAAAGCGUGCGUAGGUGGUGGUUUAAGUCCGUUGUGAAAGCCCUGGGCUCAACCUGGGAAUUGCAGUGGAUACUGGGUCACUAGAGUGUGGUAGAGGAUAGUGGAAUUUCCGGUGUAGCAGUGAAAUGCGUAGAGAUCGGAAGGAACAUCUGUGGCGAAGGCGACUAUCUGGGCCAACACUGACACUGAGGCACGAAAGCGUGGGGAGCAAACAGGAUUAGAGACCCCCGUAGUCCCUGUCUCUUAUAC
rnacentral:rRNA from 1 species